rnacentral:misc_RNA from 1 species
CCAAUAGCGUAUAUUAAAGUUGUUGCAGUUAAAAAGCUCGUAGUUGAAUUUCGGGGUUCAUACGUUGGUCGGGCUAUUUGGUCUGUACUUAUGUAAUGGAUUCCUACCUUCUGAAUAACCGGCAUGCCAUUAAUUUGGUGCGCCGGGGAAGCAGGACUGUUACCUUGAAAAAAUUAGAGUGCUUAAAGCAGGCUAUCGCCUGAAUACAUUAGCAUGGAAUAAUGAAAUAGGACGGCAUGGUUCUAUUUUGUUGGUUUCUAGGAUCACCGUAAUGAUUAAUAGGGAUAGUUGGGGGCAUUAGUAUUCAAUUGUCAGAGGUGAAAUUCUUUGAUUUAUUGAAGACUAACUUCUGCGAAAGCAUUUGCCAAGGAUGUUUUCAUUAAUCAAGAACGAAAGUUAGGGGAUCGAAGACGAUCAGAUACCGUCGUAGUCUUAACCAUAAACUAUGCCGACUAGGGAUCGGACGAUGUUAAUUUUUUAAUGACUCGUUCGGCGCCUUACG